rnacentral:rRNA from 1 species
ACACAUGCAAGUCGAACGGUAACAGGAAGAAGCUUGCUUCUUUGCUGACGAGUGGCGGACGGGUGAGUAAUGUCUGGGAAACUGCCUGAUGGAGGGGGAUAACUACUGGAAACGGUAGCUAAUACCGCAUAACGUCGCAAGACCAAAGAGGGGGACCUUCGGGCCUCUUGCCAUCGGAUGUGCCCAGAUGGGAUUAGCUAGUAGGUGGGGUAACGGCUCACCUAGGCGACGAUCCCUAGCUGGUCUGAGAGGAUGACCAGCCACACUGGAACUGAGACACGGUCCAGACUCCUACGGGAGGCAGCAGUGGGGAAUAUUGCACAAUGGGCGCAAGCCUGAUGCAGCCAUGCCGCGUGUAUGAAGAAGGCCUUCGGGUUGUAAAGUACUUUCAGCGGGGAGGAAGGGAGUAAAGUUAAUACCUUUGCUCAUUGACGUUACCCGCAGAAGAAGCACCGGCUAACUCCGUGCCAGCAGCCGCGGUAAUACGGAGAGUGCAAGCGUUAAUCGGAAUUACUGGGCGUAAAGCGCACGCAGGCGGUUUGUUAAGUCAGAUGUGAAAUCCCCGGGCUCAACCUGGGAACUGCAUCUGAUACUGGCAAGCUUGAGUCUCGUAGAGGGGGGUAGAAUUCCAGGUGUAGCGGUGAAAUGCGUAGAGAUCUGGAGGAAUACCGGUGGCGAAGGCGGCCCCCUGGACGAAGACUGACGCUCAGGUGCGAAAGCGUGGGGAGCAAACAGGAUUAGAUACCCUGGUAGUCCACGCCGUAAACGAUGUCGACUUGGAGGUUGUGCCCUUGAGGCGUGGCUUCCGGAGCUAACGCGUUA